rnacentral:lncRNA from 1 species
CUCGUAGCUUCAUACUACCAAUUGAGUAUAAAACAAGUAUAUAAGUUUAAAAAAGAAAUUCUUAGAUUAAACACCUACAUUUAACUUUAAAAGGUCAUAACAGUUUAAAACAAUACAAAUCUACACACACACAAAAACUGGCUUAAUUUCAACUGGUUAUCAACCCGAAUCGCUAUAAGAUCAUAUAUAAGCUCACCUGUGUCGAGGGGUCGUGUGAGGUUCAUGUAUUGUCUUGGCGUCCGCAAUUACAAAAAGAUCUUUUCUGAAAUUACUUGACCAAAUGUUACCAAAUGAUUUUUCAAGAGUGAAUCUAGGAAAAACAAUAUUCAUCAACAAACAUGACCACUGUCUGUUAAAAUGUAUUCGAGUUUUUAGUUACAGCCGAUUCCAUUGAGUAUGUAGGCAAAGGUAAUAUCUUUGGUUAGCUUGCUUGUUAGCUAAACCGUG